rnacentral:rRNA from 1 species
UACGUAGGUGGCAAGCGUUGUCCGGAUUUACUGGGCGUAAAGAGCGCGCAGGCGGCCGAGUAAGUCGAAUGUGAAAGCCCCCGGCUCAACUGGGGAACGUCAUUCGAUACUGUUCGGCCCGAAGAUAGGAGAGGGAAGCGGAAUUUCAGGUGUAGUGGUGAAAUGCGUAGAUAUCUGAAGGAACACCAGUGGCGAAGGCGGCUUUCUGGCCUAUUCUUGACGCUGAGGCGCGAAAGCUAGGGGAGCGAACGGG